UUUCUACUCAAGAUAAUAUCUUUAGUUAACAAAAAACAUUCACAUCUCUUUUUACUGUUUAUAGUAAAGUUGUCUUAUAUCUCGGUCUACCUUUCACACCACUAAUACUAGUCGGCUUCCCCCGCAUAACCACAAAUCUACAUGUCUCCUUUGAGCAUGUCCCUAUCAUCUUCAGACAAUAAUACCUCAUUUUAUUAUCCAUCAGAACUUAAUUGUCCUGCAUAUACAUAUGAACAUUUUUCAUCUUAACCGCACAAACUUUAUGUAUAUAUUUUUACCAUUCAACAUUCAAAUGCAUAAAGUAUGACUGAACUAACAAUUAUUUCAUAUUACUUUUCUUUUAUCUAACAAGCAUUCGAUGAUCACACAAAAUACCCAACACCCCCUCUUAACUUUGACAACCCAAUUUUUAUUCUGUGAAUAAUAUUUUCAUCAAUCUCUGCCUAUUUAUUUCGCAUCUUAUUCUAUCUUCAGCAUUUCCAAAGUUCCAUAGUAGGACACAUUAGUUCAAUUCCUUUAUAUUUAGACCAACUUCAAAUAUCUUAUUCCUAUAAAUUGAUAUUAGAAAACUCUUUCUUUGUUCAUUAUACAUCAAGUAUCUUUUGAUAUCCAUCUUUUAUACACUUAAUGUUACCUAAAGUUUUUAUUUUUUCCUAGCUUUAGCAAUCCAAAAAGAUAUUUCUCUUCAUCCUUAACACAGAUGACCAUAAAAACUAACAAAAUCCAUAUUGUACUAUGAAUUAGCAUGAACUAAUGGUGAAAAUAGGGUGACAAUGUUAUAUUUUGUAGCAGCAAAUUCUCAAGCAUAACUCUUGGUGCUCCAACAUAAUAAUCCAGAUAAUAAAGUGUAAGUCAACCUAAUUCUCCACCCACCUCUUAAUAAUCUGAAUCCUAUGUAAUAUAUUUGUUUGAACACUUAAAGGGUUUCAAAACUUCUUUUAAAAUAGAUAUCUGGUUUCAAAUCUUCUUAUACAAUAGAUAUCCAGAAUACAUUGAUAACAAAUCAGCAGGAAUGAACAGAAAAAAUUGUCACAACAAUGAGUGGUGUUUAUGCUUCUAUAGACCUGAUGAUCACUGUGUUAGGCAGCAAAACCAACCUACUUCAGCAUGUUCAACCAGAAGCACAUCGUCACUUGAGCCAAAUAAUGCCAUACUCCCAUGGGAAAUGUUUAUUUGACCACCAAAACGGCAUCAAAUGUUUUAAAAAUUAUUCUGCCUCUUGGUAUUCUGUUAACAUUUAAUGUUUUUUGAUGUUGUAUAAGUAUUGUCAAACAAAAAUGAGAAAGUAAUAAGGCGAAUCUCCAUUCUAAGUUUCAGUAUAUCUGAGAGCUAGUAAUUCAGGAAAGCUGUGCAUUUCCUAUGUUGAGUAAAUUUAACCAACACCAUGGAGGUCAUAACCAAGGUCUGAAAUUUCGUACCGUACCAAAGUUUCGACGAUCGUUCGGUACGGUACAAAACGGUAUACCGAGCGGUAUACCGUUCGAUAUACCGCUCGGUAUAUAUAUAUAUUAUAUAAUAUAUAUAACUCGACGACGUCGCUUCGGCGACAUUGCCUCUCUCUUCUCCCAAGAGGGGCGACGUCGCCUCGUUUAUAUUUAUAUAAAAAUUAAUAUAUAUAUAUAUAUAUAUAUAUAUAUAUAUAAGGUUAUAUAUAUAUAUUUAUAUAUUUUUUUUUUAUUUAAAAGGCGACGUCGUCUUUUCCUUCCCCACGCGAGGCGACAUCGCCUCGUUUAUUUAAAUAAAUAUAUAUAUAUAUAUAUAAUCCGAAAAAGGCGACGUCGUCGAACGUCACCUUUUUCUAAUAUAUAUAAAUAUAUAUUAUUUUAUUAUUAUUUUUCAUUCCACCCAGUAGUAGGCGGUCCGUGCAUCGGUAUGCCGUCGGACCGGUACACACCGCCCGUACCGGGCAAUAUCAUUCGAUAUUGCCUUCCUUGGACAUAACAAAGUUUUACAAAUGGUAAAGUUGCUAGUGAUACUUAUAUAGUC
rnacentral:lncRNA from 1 species